UUGCCGAAUGCACCGGGGGGGGACACUCCGUGUUUGCAGAAGUAAAAAAACCCCCACGGUCGUUGCACAAUGGAACAAGGCUGUUCAUUUUCUCCACUCAGGUUUACUGCUCAGACCUUGGGUUUUUCAGCAUCAGCAAGUUAAUAAGCAGAAACGCUUGUGAAAAAGAGCUAGCGGUGCUUUUUUCGAAUUGUUGUUUUUGUUGGUUUUUGCUGCUCGGUACCAUUAUGUUCGUGCAUCCCAUCUCCCCCCGCAACUCGGAUAUGCAGAACUUGGCAAAGGGUUUUCAAACCACUUCACUUAAUCUCUUCCGUGCCUCAGUAGUGAGCACAGGCUGGGCGGGAUCAGCCGCGUAAAAUCCACUCUGGGUCAUUUUUGGAGGUCCUUGCAGCAAGCGGCGCUGCCCCGCGGGGGGCGGAGGGCAGGAGCCGCGGCGCUGUGGCGCUGCAGACCCGCGCUGGCGGCACGGCUCGCCGUUGUUCUCUGGCCCCGCAUCCCGAGGAAAGAGGUGUUCGUAAAAACAAAGCAAAACAAAGCAAACCAAAGCAAAACCAAAGCCGGGCAGACGGUUUGUGCGGAGGAAUGUUUCUGACCACAGCCAGACAGCAGCUCUGUCAGGGCAUGAAACGCUGUGUUUCUUAAGCUCUUGUGCCAUUACAUUGUUUAAUCUUCAAAGCAUUAAACUUUGGAGUUGCUCAGACCUUGCAAAGCUAAAAAUAAUAAAAAUUCAAAUGAC